ACGUCACUUCCGUUCUGAAGAAGCCCUCGACUAACCACGGCGCCCGUAGACUGCGCAUGCGCUAGUGUGGGGCGUGGCUUCUAGUGACACAAUCAAGGGGCGGGCUUUGCCUCCGUCAAAUUCCAUUGUCUCGGAGCUCAAAAAGCAGACAGAGUGCGAGGGGCGAGAAAGUCUAACGAGGAAGAAGACAGAAGUAAAAAACUGUGACAAUGAAGUUACACUAAAUUCUGCGUGUUCCUUCCGAGAAGAUAAAUCAUAUGUGUUUGUAACAAGGAAUGGGAACAUGCAAAGCUCAUAAAAGCCCUGCGAGAAGUUGAUUUUUAUCUAAAAAUUAUAGUUAUUUACUGUAUCUAUUAAAAAUAG